UACGGAGGGUGCAAGCGUUUGUCCGGAUUUAUUGGGUUUAAAGGGUGCGUAGGCGGCUUUUUAAGUCAGCGGUGAAAGACAACAGCUCAACUGUUGCAGUGCCAUUGAUACUGAAGAGCUUGAGUACAGAUGAGGUAGGCGGAAUUUAUGGUGUAGCGGUGAAAUGCAUAGAUACCAUAAAGAACACCUAUUGCGAAGGCAGCUUACUAAGCUGUAACUG
rnacentral:rRNA from 1 species